rnacentral:rRNA from 1 species
GACGAACGCUGGCGGCGUGCUUAACACAUGCAAGUCGAACGGAAGGGCCCUGCUUUUGUGGGGUGCUCGAGUGGCGAACGGGUGAGUAACACGUGAGUAACCUGCCCUUGACUUUGGUAUAACUUCAGGAAACUGGGGCUAAUACCGUAUAGGAUCUCCUGCUGCAUGGUGGGGGUUGGAAAGUUUCGGCGGUUGGGGAUGGACUCGCGGCUUAUCAGCUUGUUGGUGGGGUAGUGGCUUACCAAGGCUUUGACGGGUAGCCGGCCUGAGAGGGUGACCGGCCACAUUGGGACUGAGAUACGGCCCAGACUCCUACGGGAGGCAGCAGUGGGGAAUAUUGCACAAUGGGCGGAAGCCUGAUGCAGCAACGCCGCGUGCGGGAUGACGGCCUUCGGGUUGUAAACCGCUUUCGCCUGUGACGAAGCGUGAGUGACGGUAAUGGGUAAAGAAGCACCGGCUAACUACGUG